rnacentral:lncRNA from 1 species
AUCCUGCUCCGUUGCCUUCAACAUGGCCGCCGAACUCACUGUUGGUAACUCUAAUGCUGCCACCCUGUUAAGUUCCUUCUCUAUUGCCACUCUGCCAAAGCCUCUUCUUCCAAUUGCAUUUCUAUUAGAUUACGUUGUUGAGGCUUUAGAAGAAAUUAUGCAAAAGCUUGGAAAGCGAUAUCCUUUUAGCUAACAAGAUCAUGAAUAGAAAAAAGAGCCCAGUGGGUGGUACC